UGGUGCUGUCAUUGCCUUACACAUUGGCAUGGACAAGGCCCUUUGAAGAAAGUUAUCUGGUCAAACUGAGGAAUAUCAGUGACAGAAUGACAGAAGGCCUAGAAAAUAUGUGAUUUGGUUGUAUUUCUACAAGUGCUUUUAUGCAGGACACAACUUGCCCACAUGACUGUAACAGGACAUAUAAAGGGAUCAUCUGAGAAUUACUCAUUGUCAAAAUGGAAACAAUGCAACCACCAUUCUCAAACUUCAAUGAGUAGAAGAAUCAUGGCAGCUUGUUAAAAUGCCUGAGUCUCAUCUCAGAUAUUCAAUUCAGGAUGACUGAGCUUUAUUGAUUUGUCAAUGAUUCCUAUUGGAGACCAAAACUGAGCAGAUAGUUUGUAUGAAAAAGGCCAAUGAAACUCUUCCUUCAUGUUGGAAACAAUUUGGAAACAAACAUUUGGAAACAAACUGCUUCCGUCUUGCCAAUUUUCCCCAGGCCGUUUAUGUGAAUUCAAUUAGCAAGGUAUUCCCUGGUCAUCUCUGUUCCCCACCUGCCACCAGAGGAUGUGCUGCCUCCUUGCCUUAGAAAGCUUGCAGAGAGCUAGACCCAGCAUGCCUACAGCCUCUUCACAUACUCAACCCCAGCCUCCUCAUGAGUCCUUCUCACACCUUUGAGCUGAAACUCGGAUCUCUGAAAUUCUAGAUAUGUAUGUGUAUAUCCAAAUACUUGUUCCAACUUUCCAUUUGAUGGUCCUAGAGACGCCUACAACCCACUGUCUUACAGAUGGAAUAUUUACCUUCCUCAAACUCACUCCACUGCUGUGCUGAUUUCAAAGUUCUCCAUAUAUACACAGAUAUAGAUGUGUUUUUGUGUGUGUGUGUGUGUGUUUACGCACAUCAUAUUUAUAUUCUGGAUGUAGAUUAUUGAACUCCAAGAAAAACAACUAAUUGGUAAGGUUUCAAAGCUAUAAUACUCUUGAUGUGCUUAAAUUAAUACUCAUAUUAAUUACAAGAGCAUUAACUUAAGAACAUUAAAUUCUUAUAUCAUGGCUGGGCGCGGUGGCUUACGCCUGUAAUCCCAGCACAUUGAGAGACCGAGGC